UACGUAGGGUGCAAGCGUUGUCCGGAAUUAUUGGGCGUAAAGAGCGUGUAGGCGGCCAAAUAGGUCGGUUGUGAAAACUGGAGGCUUAACCUCCAGACGUCGACCGAAACCAUCUGGCUAGAGUCCGGAAGAGGAGAGUGGAAUUCCUGGUGUAGCGGUGAAAUGCGCAGAUAUCAGGAAGAACACCAAUGGCGAAGGCAGCUCACUGGGACGGUACUGACGCUGAGACGCGAAAGCGUGGGGAGCAAACAGG
rnacentral:rRNA from 1 species